rnacentral:rRNA from 1 species
UACGUAGGUGGCAAGCGUUAUCCGGAUUUACUGGGCGUAAAGAGCGCGCAGGCGGCUGGUCAAGUCCGAUGUGAAAUCUCCCGGCUUAACUGGGAAACUGCAUCGGAAACUGAUCGGCUUGAAGGUGGGAGAGGGUAGUGGAAUUCCCGGUGUAGUGGUGAAAUGCGUAGAUAUCGGGAGGAACACCAGUGGCGAAGGCGACUACCUGGCCCAUUCUUGACGCUGAGGCGCGAAAGCUAGGGGAGCGAACGGG